rnacentral:tRNA from 1 species
GGCGGCAUAGCCAAGUGGUAAGGCAUGAGACUGCAAAUUUCCUAUCCCCAGUUCAAAUCUGGGUGCCGCCU